CCAUAAAGUGUCCUAUGACCAGGUCUUUUUCUUCAGGUGGCUUGGGCAUUGUAGCCUGAGUCACCUGAGGAGGCUUUUUCGUUCUAUUAGGGACUAUAAAGUCC
rnacentral:miRNA from 7 species